rnacentral:lncRNA from 1 species
GCCAACAUACCUCCCUUCUUGUUAUAAAGAGAAGGGAAGGAAAAGGGAGGGGAAAGCCAAUGGUGAAAAGGGAACGAGAAUGCCGCAUCUCUUAAACUGCUUCCUGCUGUCUAGGGGCAUAGUCAAUUUCAGGGCAUAGCUGGCUUUCACCAUCAGGAUCCACGUGAUAAUCUAUGGACAGGGGCUCUUCUUUGGGCAGCGGCUGCUAAUCCUGUAACAGGAGCUGAUUAAUAGUUCAGUUAGAAAUUUUUUGUAUUUGCCAUUGAAGGAAUGUAGAAACAAGAUUAAUGAGGCAGAGAUCAAAUAACACCAGGAAGAUGACUAGGAAAGGUGUUAUGAAAGGGAGUAUCCACUUCCAAAUAGGAUUUUCCUAAGUCCCAGAACUGGAGGUCUCACAGUCUCUGAAGUUCUUUAUGUCUGACUGUAGCUCCUGGAUUUUAUUUCUCACUAUCCCAGAUUGGUUGACGUAGAAACAGCAUUCUUCUUGGAGAAACAGGCAAAGACUACCUUCUUUAGCUGUCAGGACAUCUAGCCCCCGACGGUUUUGAAACACCACAGCUGCCAAAGAAUCAGACUCUUCCUGGAUAGUACAUAGAGGGAAAAAGAACGAGUCAGGGCAGGAAGAUGUGAACAACUUUGAGCAGAGAAUCGAUGCAAAAGCAAGAAAAAUUUUAUUGUUCCAGCAUGCUGGUAUUGCCCUGCACAUAAAGGAGAGUGAGAGAACAGCCCAUUUGGGAGCUAUUUCAUCAGGACCUGAGAAAGCUUAGCCCUCAGAAGUGCUUAUAGUGAGACCACACAAUGACAUGCAACAUCACUCAGACUCGCCCAAACCCACCAGCUGGACGAGGAACCACGGGACGUUAGAAUCAGAGUAACUUUGGCCAACAAUCUGAGACACUUGGGAGAAAAUUCAUUCUAAAUCUAACAGCUUCCUGCUCUCAGGAAGGCCUCUGGGCUUCCGGUGCCUCUGGUCCUCCUUCCCGGCUCUUCUGUGGAGGCUAGCUUCCUCCAAGCUGACCCCGAGGGAGCCGCCUUCUCGUAGGUGGAAAGCGAAGAGAAGAGAGCGGGUAAGCAGUGGAGACACAUUGGCUGUACUCAGGACCUGUACCAGAGGUGGCAGGAGGACACCACCGAGCCCUGCUCCACCCAUCGCAGCCUCGAGACCCUCUGCGCGGGGAUGCUGACCCCUGCUGGCCACCUGAGAGAUUGCAGCGUGGCCGACUCCCAAGGGGCGGCAAGUGUAAGGGAAAAAGAGUGAGAGGAGCCGUAAGGGCUAUGGAGCCCAAAUCAGCAUGCCUCUAGGACCUACCUGAGCCUCCAGAAGACCCCUCAACAGGAACCGUUGUCCGAACCAACCAACUCCAAACCUAAACCUCAGAGGCCUCCUCAUGCAGACAGAUUGCUGACCUAUCUCUGGGGUAGUCAGCUGAAAUACCCCAGAGAUAUUCACGGCCUAAUCCCAGGAAGUUUCUUUAAAUGGCAAAAGAAACCUAGAGUGUGUUACCCUCGAUUAUUUAGGUAGAUUCUACAUGUAAUCAGGUAUAUCACCAAAGGGGAAGUGAGGUAAAGGAAUAUUUAUUUCACUACAGAACAGAAGGCAAGCCAUCUUGCAGGAGGACCUGAGGAGAGAAGGAGAGAGUCAGGAGAGAACAGAUUCCCUCUACAGUGCCCAGAGUCUCCCCUGACUGAUUUGGACCCAAUGAAAUUCCAAACUCUGGUGUCAAGAACUUUAAAAGAAUAAAUGUGUGCUGUUUUGA